AUGUCUCCCCUCCACAUAAAUUGUAGGGAACUUCAGGCUGCGUCUACGGUAGGUUUUCUGACUGCAGUUAUCCAGCUCCAUGGCCGCAGCGUGGACAGUGGGGACAGAGUGCCAGACACAGAACCAGGCUGGACGCUAAGAUGUCCCAAGCACCCAAGCAGCUAUUCCUGAUGCGGCCCCCCAUUUUUCAGAACCAAACUCUCGGAAGAAGCUGCCUGAUUCAGAACCUGCUUUGUCUUCCAAGGAAAAUUAAAGGUAA
rnacentral:lncRNA from 1 species